AUCAGAAGUGCGAAUGCUGACAUGAGUAACGACAAUGCGAGUGAAAAACUCGCACGCCGAAAGACCAAGGUUUCCUGCGCAACGUUAAUCGACGCAGGGUUAGUCGGCCCCUAAGGCGAGGCAGAAAUGCGUAGUCGAUGGGAAGCAGGUUAAUAUUCCUGCACUUCUAGUUACUGCGAUGGGGGGACGGAGAAGGCUAGGCCAGCACGGCGUUGGUUGUCCGUGUUUAAGGUGGUAGGCAGAGAUCUUAGGUAAAUCCGGGAUCUUAAUGCCGAGAACUGAUGACGAGUGUCCUUUUGGACAUGAAGUGGUUGAUGCCAUGCUUCCAGGAAAAGCCUCUAAGCUUCAGGUAACUAGGAACCGUACCCCAAACCGACACAGGUGGUUGGGUAGAGAAUACCAAGGCGCUUGAGAGAACUCGGGUGAAGGAACUAGGCAAAAUGGCACCGUAACUUCGGGAGAAGGUGCGCCGGUGAGGGUGAAGGACUUGCUCCGUAAGCUCAUGCCGGUCGAAGAUACCAGGCCGCUGCGACUGUUUAUUAAAAACACAGCACUCUGCAAACACGAAAGUGGACGUAUAGGGUGUGACGCCUGCCCGGUGCUGGAAGAUUAAAUGAUGGGGUGCAAGCUCUUGAUUGAAGUCCCAGUAAACGGCGGCCGUAACAAUAACGGUCCUAAGGUAGCGAAAUUCCUUGUCGGGUAAAUUCCGUCCCGCUUGAAUGGUGUAACCAUCUCUUGACUGUCUCGACUGUAAGCUCGGUGAAAUCCUGGUGAGAGUGAAGACACUCUCUAGCAACUGCGGGACAUAAAGACCCCAUGAAGCUUUACUGUAACUUAAUAUUGAAAACGUGCAUGGCAUGUAGAGCAUAAGCGGGAGACUUUGAACUUUAAUCGCCAGAUUAAGGGGAGUCGCCAUUGGAAUACCGCUCUUGUUUUGUAUUUUUUCUGACCUAUGCUGGUAAUCACGGCAGGGGAAAGUGUUAGGUGGGCAGUUUGACUGGGGCGGUCGCCUCCUAAAAGGUAACGGAGGCGCGCAAAGGUACCCUCAACACGGAUGGAAAUCGUGUUUUGAGCGUAAUGGUAUAAGGGUGCUUGACUGCGAGACAAACAAGUCGAGCAGGUAGGAAACUAGGCCAUAGUGAUCCGGUGGUCCGGUAUGGAACGGCCAUCGCUCAACGGAUAAAAGCUACUCUGGGGAUAACAGGCUGAUAGUGUCCAAGAGUUCACAUCGACGACACUGUUUGGCACCUCGAUGUCGACUCAUCUCAUCCUGGAGCUGAAGCAGGUUCCAAGGGUUCGGCUGUUCGCCGAUUAAAGAGAUACGUGAGUUGGGUUCAAACCGUCGUGAGACAGGUUGGUCCUUAUCUACAGUUGCUGAAGGAAGAUUGUGAAGAUUUGACCCUAGUACGAGAGGACCGGGUUGAACACACCGCUGGUGUACCAGUUGUCAUGCCCGUGGCACGGCUGGAUAGCUAUGUGUGGAAUAGAUAAACGCUGAAAGCAUCUAAGUGUGAAACUAACUUUUAAACUAAUCUUCCCAUUCGCAAGAAGUAAGAACCGUUGCAGAUAACAACGUUGAUAGGUUGUAAGUGUAAGUGGAGUAAUCCAUUCAGCUAAACAAUACUAAUCGUUCGAGGAUUUACAACC
rnacentral:rRNA from 1 species